AUUGAACGCUGGCGGCAUGCCUUACACAUGCAAGUCGGACGGCAGCACGGGUGCUUGCACCUGGUGGCGAGUGGCGAACGGGUGAGUAAUACAUCGGAACAUGUCCUGUAGUGGGGGAUAGCCCGGCGAAAGCCGGAUUAAUACCGCAUACGAUCCACGGAUGAAAGCGGGGGACCUUCGGGCCUCGCGCUAUAGGGUUGGCCGAUGGCUGAUUAGCUAGUUGGUGGGGUAAAGGCCUACCAAGGCGACGAUCAGUAGCUGGUCUGAGAGGACGACCAGCCACACUGGGACUGAGACACGGCCCAGACUCCUACGGGAGGCAGCAGUGGGGAAUUUUGGACAAUGGGCGAAAGCCUGAUCCAGCAAUGCCGCGUGUGUGAAGAAGGCCUUCGGGUUGUAAAGCACUUUUGUCCGGAAAGAAAUCCUUGGCUCUAAUACAGUCGGGGGAUGACGGUACCGGAAGAAUAAGCACCGGCUAACUACGUG
rnacentral:rRNA from 1 species